rnacentral:lncRNA from 1 species
CCCAGGUUCGUUCGACGACGGCGAUGACGGAGGCAAGGGUCCAUGAAAUACGGAGGUAGAAGAGGACGAAGAUGAGUGGGAGGAAGAGGGCGUAGGCAGUGAGGGUGAGGGUGAUUGAAGAGAAAGAGAAGGAGGGGGUUAGGAGGAAGAGGGGGAUUGGGAGAGAAAGGGAGAAGAGGAUGAGGUGGGAGAGGAUGAAGGUGGUGAGGAGAGGGAGGAAGGAGGAGAGGAGGGAGGUGAAGGCGGAGAUGAGUUUAACGGGACGACCGAAGAAGCCGUGGAAGAUGCUGUGGGUGAUGGUGGCGAGGGCGGAGAGGGAGAAGAUUAAGAGGAAGAGGGAUAGUAAGAGGAGUGGGAAGGGAAAGGGGGAAUUGAGAAAAGUGGUUUGAGCUUGGACUUGGGCUUGGGCUUGUGUGUGGGCUAGGCGAAGAAGGAUGUGGAUGGUGGAUGAAUUAGAAGGGGUGAGGAGGUGGAUGAUAGUGGGGGAGACGAUAAGGGAGAAGGAGAGGGGAAGAAGGAAGAAAACGGAGAGAGCGAGGAAGUGACGGGAGUGGGCGUUGAUUAUUCGCUUCGAUUCAGAUAGGAUUGACCACAAGUUGAGGUUU